CUGAACCAGCCAAGUAGCGUGAAGGAUGACUGCCCUAUGGGUUGUAAACUUCUUUUAUACGGGAAUAAAGUGAGGCACGUGUGCCUUUUUGUAUGUACCGUAUGAAUAAGGAUCGGCUAACUCCGUGCCAGCAGCCGCGGUAAUACGGAGGAUCCGAGCGUUAUCCGGACUUAUUGGGUUUAAAGGGAGCGUAGGCGGACGCUUAAGUCAGUUGUGAAAGUUUGCGG
rnacentral:rRNA from 1 species